rnacentral:sRNA from 1 species
AGUGCAGUCACUGUGGAGGCCCACACCUA